UUGUGGAAUGGACUCUGGUUGAGAUGGUCCACAUGUUUUUGUUGAUCAGUUGGGACUCUCGCAGUCUGUCAACAAAGGCAGGAAGUGUCGGUAACAAGAGAUUUCUGUGAUUGGCCCGUUUACUUCCAUUUGGGCCUCCACAGAACGCAAAAGAGCAUGUGUGUUUUCCGGUCCAAUGUGGAAAAUGCGGCAUCACGGCCCGAGUCGCCAAGCCUCUCUCCUCUGUGCUCUUUUUCCCUUCCUGGCUCGGGCCACACCGCUCCACCCUGCAAACGCACUUCUCGUUUCUGCCCGAGUCUCCUCCCCCUCGGAGACGGCGGUCGGGCAACACGCGGACCUGACGUCCAGCGAGCCAAAAGUCCGGUCCGCCGAGGGUCCUUCUAAAACUUCACUGAGGCUCGGCAAAACAAAGUGCAACAGCCGGUUAAAUGUCGAGACUUACCAUGACCGAGCGAGGAAUCAAAGUCAGUCCACGGCUCCUUUCUUCGACCGGCUUUGUCUCGGCAUCUCCGCAGGGUCACCUCUUAGCGGGCCGCGGGAACAUCACCUCCUGGGAGCGAGCGCCUGCUCCUGCACGCUCGCUGCUGGAUUUCCCAGCCUGGAAAUGUCCAAGCUGCGUAGUCCUCACUCCCAAAAACCUUUCCUCCCUCUCCUCCCCCUCCUCUACUCGGCCAACAAGAGCGCCACAGUCUCGCUUCAAACUCAAACUUCCUAUUCUUAGCCCUUAGAGGGAGCUAAACCAAUGGACAACACUGAGGCUGAAGCACUUUUAAAUGUUAUUAGCAAAGGCUGCAGAGGGGAGGGGGUGCAGGGUGGAGGACGCAGAUUGGCAGCAUCUUUGGAGUCCUUUCUGCUGGCCCUUGUGAUUUGGAGCAGUCAUCACGAGAGAUUACAAACAAACGAAAAACCCUUUUCUGGCCAUUUUGGUGUCUGACGUCGUUCCUGAUCUUCCGCUACGUAUACGUACAACAGGAUUCAGAGACAAAUCUGGCUAUCGUGGGAGCGUCCUUUUAUUUCAGGAUUUCAAACGCAUUCGAGAGAUUCAUUCAAAACAGGGUCCACAUUUCAAAAGGUUUUUGGCUGUCCUCAGAGUUCUGUAUGCAAGCACACUUAACAAAAGGUUGAGCGGACGCAAAAAGCGCGUGCGACACGCGCAUCGCUGCAACAUUGACACAAAUGUCGAGCAAAACCCAUUCAAGAAUUUGGAGGAACUUCCCGAAGAGCGGCCAGAGGGCGGAGUCAGCGCAUCAUUGACGCAUCGAUAUCUAUAUACUUUCAUUCCGAACUCUUGAUCGUGGUUGUCACAGUGGAUCAACGGAAAAGUAAGUCAGGGUAAAGUUCCGACAUACGAAGCGAGAACGACCGGCAGAAGCACGUGAAGCCGUUUCCGUCGGAAAUUUUUUAAGAACGAGUCUGAUGGGAAUCGGAUUGUGUGUGUGUUCACGUGUGAGGGUGGCCUAGGACAUCCAUCCGUCCGUCCGUCCGUCCAUUCUCUACCGCUUAUCCGGGUCGGGUCGCGGGGGCAGUAGCUUCAGCAGGGACGCCCAGACUUCCCUCUCCCCAGCCACUUCGUCCCCGGGGUCUCCUCCCGGCGGGACGUGCCCGGAACACCUCACCGGGGAGGCGUCCGAAUCAGAUGCCCCGGCCGCCUCAUCUGGCUCCUCUCGAUGCGGCCCUACUCUGAGAUCCUCCCGGAUGACCGAGCUUCUCACCCGUUCUCUAAGGGAGAGCCCGGACACCCUGCGGAGGAAAGUCAUUUCGGCCGCUUGUAUCCGGGAGCGGCCUAGGACAUUAAAACUGGAUUGUUGUGGUUAGAUUUCAAGUCGUCUCUUUAUUAAUAUGCCAACUUUUACUGAUGAUAAAUGUUAACAGCAGUCGUCGCAAACCGUAAAGAUGGAACCUUUGUCGAAAUGACAAGAAAUAAUCAUGCUGUCUGUGUGACACGAACUAAACUUCCUCCAAUCCCAAUUGAUGCAAUGUGCACGUUGGUAAUGAUAGUUUAGCAAGUAUAUAUCUUUUGAUAUCAGAUUGUCGACGACUUGAAUUGAGAUUGGUUUUCGAUCAUUUCCAUCCCCUUGCAAAUAAAAGCUUGCUUCCUUCCAGCGCCUGAGGGACAAAAGAAGAGGCCAUAGUGAGCCGACAGCCAGCAAGUCAAAGGGAAAGAACCGCGUGACGUCGGCUCACGGUGGGUGGCGGCACAGCCGGCCAAGCUGCGAGCGGGGCAGGACAGGAAGGAAAAACAACGAUGUUCUGGACGACUUGUUUCUCCAGCUCACCUUUUGGCGGCGAGCGCUUGUGUUGGCGAGGCUCGCGGUUCAUCUUCGUCAUCUCCUCCUCCGGACGGUUGGCCCUCGUCCUCGCCGUUUCCUUCCCCGGGUUGCCUAGCCUGGCCUUCAGCAAAACCAAGAGCGCUUUUUGGGGACAUGCCUUCAUCCAAAAGGCGAGAUGAAUUCACCACAAACUAAACAUGAGAGAACAAUUCUUAAUCAACUUUGGACAAAAUGGGAAGGGAAAAAAAAUCCAACACGCAAAGGAUUUUGAAAUUCUGAGAUAUAUAUAUAUAUAUUGAUAAUGUUUUUUUUUAUUGCAUAUUGAUUAAAUACAAACAAUUUG